CCGCCAUGAUGGGUUACGACGACAAUUCGUUGUACGAUCUGGAGUUCCGUUCGACGUUGGACGACGCUUGGUACAGCGUCCGAGUCGUACUCUCCGACGACGACACUCUCGUCGUCAAGUUCUGGAACUUCUCCGAAUCCACCGACGAGAGCUUUGGAGUUGGCGAUUUUAAGACGAUCGAGGCCGUCGAGGAGUUCGUUCGGAGGUUUCGGCUUCCAUCGCAGCAGUUGCAGGACAGCCAGUGCUCGAGACUCGUCGAAGGAAUUGGUGUGUGUGCCUCUUUCACUUUCAGAGACGAUGACAUUCGCUUCUACGACGCCGUUGUCGAGGCGGUGCACCAUGUGGAGCAUUCAUUUGCAAAAGAAGAGGAGGAAUGCUUGUGCACCUUUCUGCUAUUCUGGCAACAUGGGCCAAAUGAGGGUAAUGUAACAGCUUCCGGUAUUGCAAACAUGUGCCUAAUCCAACCUUUUGAACAAAUGGAUUCUAGGGUGGUCACUUUCUCAAAGAUGGCAAAGGAGAAAGUCGAGAUUGCUCGCCCUACACCUGGUUCAGCUUCUGAUGGUAAAACUUCAUUGGGUAAGAGUGCUACGUUUGACAAAGAAGAUAGAAAUUUGUCAACUGUCCAAGAGUCUACUUUAUCUCAACGUGGGCUCCAGGAGGGUGUUAAGCAGUUUGGUAGCUUAGCACAUACAAAAGAAGGGAGGAUUAACAAAUUUCAUGAGAGGAACCAUCAAGAUAUAGAUUUUGGAGGGGGAUCUUAUAUGGGAGAAUUUGGCAGUCAUCAUUUCAUGUUAAUUGAGAAUUUGGAGAAAGAUUUGUCUCCAUCAUCAAUUAUGGAAUUCAUACAUAAACAAACAUCUAUCUCACCACAAGCAUAUGUUUUUCCAAGUUUAUCAUCAGAAACAUAUACAAGGGGCGUCAUUGUAUUGGAUUGCAAGAAGAAGCUUAAGAAGAUAUAUGAAUUUUUAAAUAAUCCAGAUCAAAUUGUUAUGUCAUCAAGGGGAAGGCCUUGGGUCAUAACAGAAACUACUUCAAGGCGUGGAACCUUUAGGACUACUUUUGGGAGUCUAAUACCAACAUCUCAGAACAGAAGCAUUGAUGGUGAAUUGAAGGUUGUCUGUAGAGGGGCUAAAGAAUUCAUGAUAGCUCAACGUCUGAGGGACUUACUCAAAGAAUUUGUGGAACACCAACAGCGACUUCACAAGAGGUUAACUUUGGAGGAGAAAAAGAUCUUGCAGCCCGCUGUUUAGCUACAAGCAACUUCUCAGGCUCAUGGCAAAUGUGUUAAUACAUUAAGGUAAGGUUGAUCAACUUCUUUGUUCCAAGGACUUCAUGUCUCUGAUUUAUAAAAGUUUGCUUUCAGCCAGCAACAGAGCUGCACUAGUGAACCAGUUUCUUCUUGUGCUGUUUCAGGCAACAAAAGUCUCCAUCUCAUCAUAGCCAUUUUGUACAUUGACAAACUACCAUUUCAGAAAUGUUUAUGUUUAUGUACCCAGAUUCAAAUGUGUGAAUCAGAUUCAUUCUAAAUGAGUUUUGAAUAGUUUUCUUAA